UACAGAGACUGCAAGCGUUAUUCGGAUUCACUGGGCGUAAAGGGUGCGCAGGCGGUCGUGUGUGUCAGGUGUGAAAUCCCGGAGCUUAACUCCGGAACUGCGCCUGAAACUACACGACUAGAGCAUUGGAGAGGGAAGUGGAACUCAUGGUGUAGCAGUGAAAUGCGUAGAUAUCAUGAGGAACACCAGAGGCGAAGGCGACUUCCUGGACAAUUGCUGACGCUCAGGCACGAAAGCAUGGGGAGCAAAAGGG
rnacentral:rRNA from 1 species